rnacentral:rRNA from 1 species
GACAGAGGAUGCAAACGUUGCUCGGAAUUACUGGGCGUAAAGCGCAUGUAGGCGGUCCGGUAAGUCAGGUGUGAAAUCCCGGGGCUCAACCUCGGAAGGGCACAUGAUACUGCCGGACUUGAGUACUGGAGAGGAGAGUGGAAUUCCCGGUGUAGAGGUGAAAUUCGUAGAUAUCGGGAGGAACACCAGUGGCGAAGGCGACUCUCUGGACAGAUACUGACGCUGAGAUGCGAAAGCGUGGGAAGCAAACAGG